rnacentral:misc_RNA from 1 species
AUCUUGCUCUACUGAAUUAAUUAGAGUUAUAAUUAUGAGAUUAAACAAUAAAAAGAUUUCUUUUUUCUCCAGAAGCGGAUAAGCAACUCAUAAUUAAUGACAUUAUAUAGUAAUAAACUCUUAACAAGUACUCAUCCACUCACAGGAUUCCUUUUUUAUAAUUUCUCAUAAUUUAUAUGAAUUUAAAAUCACCAUCAUUUAACACUCUG